UGAAGACUGGUGUAGAUCAGGGGCUUGGAGGUGCUAGCCUGCAAGCAAUUUUGACAACUGAUCUCUUCCUUCUUCUUCAAGCAACUUGGACACUCCAAAGCAAGGAAAAAUUUGAAGGAGGAAGAGACGAAGAGGAAGAGAGGCUCUGAAAAUGAAAACACCAGCAAGGGAGGAGAGAAGCAUGAUGCCAAAGAGGAUGACCACCCUUUUUAUAGAAUAGGAGUUAGGGUUUCACCA
rnacentral:lncRNA from 1 species